GGAGAAAGCCCAUCGGGCGCACCUGAAACCAUUCCCACCCACUGGCACCUUUCAUAUGCACGCCAAAAACCUGGCACCACGGCCGGAAUAACUCUGUAUGUCUAUAUAUACCCAGGAGUACAAUAGCUCACUAGCCACCCACAGGGACGAGCGUUCCUAAUGUGCGUUCCUAAUGAUGCACUCUAGUGGCAUCGCAUCCCUAACGGGAAACCAC